AAAGGAUCUUGUUAUGGGAAAGAAUGGUAGGAGACCACUAUUGCAGUUACUUCAUCCAAAUUCUUCACGUUAUUUCAGUCGUGAUGAUUUGGCCUCUCUUGAUCUGUCUGUUCCAUCACUGUGCUUAAUGGAUAAGUCUGAGACAAAGGACUCAGAUGGCAAAGAAUCUGCUGAGGAGGAGAAAGACGAGCAAGAAGAUAUUGUAACUGAACAGAGCGG